rnacentral:rRNA from 1 species
AUUGAACGCUGGCGGCAUGCCUUACACAUGCAAGUCGAACGGCAGCACGGGGGCAACCCUGGUGGCGAGUGGCGAACGGGUGAGUAACAUAUCGGAACAUACCCUAGAGUGUGGGAUAACGUAGCGAAAGUUACGCUAAUACCGCAUACGAUCUAAGGAUGAAAGUGGGGGAUCUUCGGACCUCAUGCUCAUGGAGUGGCCGAUAUCUGAUUAGCUAGUUGGUGAGGUAAAGGCUCACCAAGGCGACGAUCAGUAGCUGGUUUGAGAGAACGACCAGCCACACUGGAACUGAGACACGGUCCAGACUCCUACGGGAGGCAGCAGUGGGGAAUUUUUGGACAAUGGGGGCAACCCUGAUCCAGCAAUGCCGCGUGAGUGAAGAAGGCCU